AGAGUCUGAAAACCUCAGAGCAGGAUGGACACAAGUGCACGGAGCAGGGAAAGAACCAUGACUAAAUAAGUCAGAAGCUCUACCUGUGACUGGCUUUACAACACCAGAUAUUUUAAAGCUCCCUGCAUCACCCUCUGGACUGGCAAAACAAGUCAGAGUACUGCAGGAAAUUGAGGACCCUGAGCUGCGCUUGGCAGCUCCAAAACAAUGGCACAGUGCUUGCCGGAUGCCAGCCCCACCAAGGUGAUCCAGAAUCCAGAGGCUGACAUCAAGGACUCGAGUGAAGUUUCAACUGAGUCUGCAUCAGCUGUGGCGGUCAAAGUCAGACCUGCAGACCUGGGGCUGAUUCGAAGCCUGUCCAAGUCGGACUCUGACUUGCUGGCGUCACCACUCGGAGAAGAGGAAGGAGGUCUGGCCGGCCGCAGUGGGUCGGUGUCUAACUGCAGCUCUGGGCAGCCGUCCAUGAAGCGCAUGCCUUCCUUUGCCUCUGAGUGGGAUGAGAUUGAGAAGAUCAUGAACUUGAUUGGAGCAGGCAUUGAAACGUCCAAAAACAAACAGCCCACACCAAGCUCAGAUGGGGCCUGUGGUAAAGCCCUGGACCAGCCGGUGGGAGAGUGGCUGGAGCACGUGGGGCUGCCGCAGUACGAGAGCAAGUUCCUGCUCAAUGGUUUCGACGACCUACGAUUCAUGGGAAGUAACGUGAUGGAGGACCAGGACCUCAGAGACAUCGGGAUCACUGACCCAGGACACAGAAAGAAAAUCCUCCAUGCGGCACGCAGCUUGCCCAAGGUAAAAGCACUGGGCUGUGAUGGCAGCACAUCUCUUGCCUCUUGGCUGGACGGCCUCGGCCUGCAUGAAUAUCUGCCCAACUUUCUCUCAAGUGGCUACCGCACACUGGAGUGUGUUAAGAACCUGUGGGAGCUGGAGAUCGUCAAUGUUAUUAAGAUUGGUCCCCUGGGCCACAGGAAGAGGAUCAUUGCCUCUCUAGCAGAGAGACCUUAUGAAGAGGCUCCGACUAAGUCCCGUCGUCUGUCCCCAAUUAUGUUUCAUGACCUCCUGUCCCAGACCACAUCCCCCCUCAGUCAGAUGGACCCCUACACCAGUCGCUCCAUGGACAUGCUCCUGCCCCUGACUGAGUCGGACCGGAGGCGGAGAGGAAUCGACCAAGACUGUAGUGUAUCUGUGCGGUCUUACAGCGAGAGGCCGCGCUCUGUAGACAGACAGAGCGAGAGACACAAAGAGUCUCGUUUAAACCUCCGGCCACCGAGCCACUCUGCUACCUACGCCACGGUGUCCGCCUGGCAUCACCAGCCCGAGAAACUCAUCCUGGACUCCUGCGGUUACGAGGCAACUUACCUAGGAUCAAUGAUAAUCAGGGAUCUACGAGGGAUCGAGUCCACACAAGAUGCCUGUGCUAAAAUUAGGAAAUCCAAGGAUUCAAGAAAGGGUCCAGUUGUCAUACUGUCCAUUACCUACAGAGGGGUCAAGUUCAUCGAUGCAGCCACAAAGACCAUAGUUGCGGAGCAUGAGAUCAGGAACAUCUCAUGUGCUGCCCAAGACCCAGAUGACCUCUGCACUUUUGCCUACAUUACCAAGGAUCUGAAGAGUGGCCACCACUUCUGCCAUGUCUUCAGCACUGUGGAAGUGACACAGACCUACGAGAUCAUACUUACACUGGGACAGGCGUUUGAGGUGGCCUAUCAGAUGGCGAUCCAGUCAAGGGCGAGACACUAUGUCCCCCCUUCAUCUCUGGCCUCAGAGGUCAUAGAGACCAAAACCAGCCGUCCCGUAUCUCAGUCGUGGAGCAGCAUGCGGAGAUCAGCAAUCGAUCCCCUGGAGAUGGACGCAGACAUGCAGUCCCUGGGCAGCACCACCUGGCUCUUGGACCAGCGGGACUCCAACAGGCGCCCCGUCAGCACCAAGUACGAGACCACCAUAUUCUGAGGCCGGAUACCCACAGCCACCCCUCUGCACCCCCCUCGUACUUUCCUCUCCCCCCUGCAUCCGGUUCUUCAUUUAUCUAUCUCUCACACACACGCACACACACACAUACACAUAUAUACAUACAUGCGAGCCCCGUGCCUUCUCACUGUGAUGGUAUAGCACCCCUCAGGGCUGCCUACUCCUGCACCCUCCUUUGCCCUGCCCAGCGACCCACACCAACCUCCUACCCGCCAUGACAAACACUCCUGCGGCUCUCCCGUGCCUCCCCAACACCCCUGGCAGCCUCGCUCGCCUGUUGCUGCUGCAGCCAGUGGCGGAGCCCUGGAACGGAUGAUCCUGGACUGAUCUCAUUUUACAGUGGCCCUGCUCUCUCAACCAAACUGCCUCUUCCUCCUCAUCCUCCUCUUCCUGACAACUUGCAUCUGCCUCCAAAUCCCCGAUAGCUCCCAGAGCCUGUCCUGUCUUACCAGGCAUCUACCACUGUGAGGCACUAUGAGGAGGCUGCUUUGCUAGCAUGGGAUGCAAGACGGACAAAUAAUCAGUGAAAGACAAAACAGCAACAUGCAGCAAACAACCUGUUUUUUUGUUUUUUGUUUUUCUACGCAUUUGUACAGUACUCAUAAUAACAACACGAUGGAUGGGUCACGGAUCUGUCAGUGAUGUCUGAACUCAAACGGACCAAGUACGACUGAACCCUCGUACAAAAAAACACACAGGAGGACAACUUUCCUACAUUUUACGAGGACAACAGCCUUACUUCAUUUCGGGUUAUCUAUAAUCAACUAAAGCCCCCUCCCCCCCAACCUUCCCCUCAACCUCCCUGAAUACCACCACCACCACCACUACCCAACAACUGCACGCCUCCCCCUGUUCCUAAAAGACUUAAGAAGAAAAAAAAAAAAAAAGACAACACUUCUGAUUUCCUGGUGUAUUAAACUGACUGUGACUGGCUGGGAUGACGUCGUUCUUUUGAUGGUACAGUUUUGUCCAGAUGAGAGUCUUUGCUCUGGCCUUGUACUGCCCUGUGCCUCUCAGCAUUCAUGGUAGCACUGAGAGACUGCAAAUCACAGCAUCUUCUUCUUCUCUAUUAAAAAAAAAGAAAGAAAGAAAAAGAAAAACACUGUGUUAAAACAUGGCACUAUCCCUUUUAAUACCUUUUCUUUUUCUUACAGUGCAAAUAGGACAUUAGUGCAUUUUGUGAUACUUUUUGAUAGACGGGGGCUGACUGAAAUACUUUGGGGCAGAAUGAUUAAGAAGGGAUCAUGAAGGGAUCCCGACAUUAAUACAACCAGAGGCAAAAAAAAAAAAGGAUACUACCAAAAAAAAAACCCCACAAACAUAUGUUGUGAACUGACAUUGGUUUCACAUUUCACAAUUUUGGUAAUCUAAACAAAAAUGUCCAUAACAAGAUUUCAUUUAUCUCGAGUGUAUUAAUGAGCCCCCAGCACAAUAUGGCGCACAUUUCCCAACAUAGCAUCUUAUUAUCAUGAUUACAUGGGUAGGUAUCCAUGCUGUUUCACACCAAUUUAGAAUUAGGUACAGUACACGCAAAGUAUGUCACUUGAAAAUAAGCGGCGGUGAAAAGAUUUAAUUCCACUACAUUAAAAGAGCCAAGUCUAAAUGUUGCUCCUCUGGUGUUGUGUUAAUGCGAAUUGAUUUGUUAUGCUGAGAACGUGACACUAUUUUUUUUUUUUUUAAAGAAUUUUCCUCCUGCACUGUGAAAUGCUCAGAAAUUUCUGAAAUACUCAGAAAUGCUCGUCGUGGAGUCGACACAUAUCUGUGGGUUCUCCCCUGUGUGCACUACCUGCUGUGCGUGCUGUAUGCCUUGUUUCUGUCUGUCCUCAUGGGAGUUUGGACUGUUAUCGUUACAUCACUGGCCACUGUCCUUGUUUGUGUGUGCUGCAGGAGACGUGAGGUUUUGAGCUCCUCUCCAGAAGACGGUGUGUCUGGAGACUGACUGUUAAGAUGUAACCGGUCUGUGUGCGGUACCGUGGCUGCGUCAUUGCCACUCUGUUCUGACUGUUAACUGUUAGCUUCCACUGACGAUGCAUGUUGGCAGUGUCUUUUGUGUUUUGUACCCUUUGAUGCACUUGGCCUGAGCAGUUCUCUGUAUGUACUGUAGCAGUGUCUCGUCUCCUCUCGCUCAUCCGCUUUUUAUGUUCCCUCGCUCUUCGUUACACACCGACAUGCAGCGAUUCACCCUCAUCCCUACCUCCACGUUCCCAUUGUCGUCACUCCUCCAACAUUUUUGUUGUCACGUAUGUUCUUCCAUUUUGUGUGUCACCAAGACAACCUGCUCUACUAUGGAUGCAUAAUACAAAAGCAUUACACUUUAAUGAGCAGCAGCUAUUUAAAGCAAGUUUUGGUGGCAUGAUAUGGCUGUGCAUGUACCAGUCUUUUUAACAUUGGUGUUUUCCUUGUGUAGCUCACCCCAGCGUUCAAGUUUCCGGAUACCAAGCUGUGAGUUGAAGGGGAGCAGCCGAAGUGAGUGUGUUUUCGUGUGUUGAGUUAGCGGGCAGAGCAGUGGAAAAGAGAUAGAGAGAGAGAGAGAGGGGGGGAGCAAAACGAGAGGUAAGCCUUACGCAACGUGCAGGGCCAACCAGCGCUACUCUGACAUUUAGAUCUCACUCUGUAUAUCCCCUCUGCUCCUCCACUGCCCCCCCCCCACCCCCCCCGAUACGAAUCCCAACACACAGACGAAAGGUAACCUGUUGUCCCACAUCACUGGCUAAAACGGGGCCGGUGUUUCACUCCUGUCUUGAGAAAGGUCAGUGAGAAAGGUCAAGUCUAUUUCCUGGCCUCCAUGUGACUUUCUGAUCUUGUCAUGUAGGUACUGUAAUGUUUAGAGCACUGUAGACCAUUAAUGAUAUAGACCAUUAAUGAGCAUUUCUAUUGAUUCAGGUCUAUUGGAGAUAGUAACUGUGGGAAUUAUGAAAGGGUAAAGAGAAAUGUAAGAAAAUGUAGAGAAAAAAAAAAAAACUGUACCAGCAUACAAAGCUUUGCCCAUGUUUGUGGACAGAGUAUGGUUUGUCAAUGAAAAUGUGAUACUGUUUCAAAUUUCAAAGCAAUAUUAUAUUAAUGAAAUUAAAUAAUACAAUGACAAAAGAA